CGACGUAGGUAACCUGCCUGGUAGCGGGGGAUAACUAUUGGAAACGAUAGCUAAUACCGCAUAAGAACAUUUACUGCAUGGUAGAUGUUUAAAAGGUGCAAAUGCAUCACUACCAGAUGGACCUGCGUUGUAUUAGCUAGUAGGUGAGGUAACGGCUCACCUAGGCGACGAUACAUAGCCGACCUGAGAGGGUGAUCGGCCACACUGGGACUGAGACACGGCCCAG
rnacentral:rRNA from 1 species